UCUUCAGUGCGGGCUCCGACCAAUGACGGUCGCCCUUUUAGGUUCUUAGCCCGCCCUCCAAGUGCGCUACAGCCGUUGGGUCAGAAGUCUAUAGGGCAGCGUGUUCACGUGGCCCGUUUUCACGACCCAGAGUUCCCCUGGCCGUGGGUUUUUUUUUUUUCCCCCACCUUCUUUCCCUCGCGCUCUCCUUCUCUCCUGCAGGGAGGCAUUAUGGGUUUGUGGGUCCGUUCCCCCUCCCCCGCCCCCGCACCACAGGGAAAGGAAGUGCCGACGUGGCCUGCGGAAAUAGGAUAGGCGGAAAUGAGCUAAGGUUCCCGGGAGUGGGAAGAGCGAGGUCAAACCAGCGCCACGCCCCCGAGCCUGUUGCGCAACCCUCAGAACGGGAGAAAAAAAAAAAACCCAACCAAACCAAAAGGAAAAAUGAAGGUUUUGAGGUGUAUGCGUGUGAGGGUGGUAUUUCUACACAUGUGUAUGUGUUCAGAAGUCAGAGGCACUGGAUCCUCCGGAGCUGGGAUUACUGGCUGUUCUGAGACACCUGACAUGGAUGCUGGGAACCUAACUCGGGUCUUCUGGUAGAGCAGCAAGUGGUCUUAAUGGCUGAGCCACGUCUUCAGCUGCAAAGGGGAAAGGUUUUUUAGAGCGGUUCUCCAAAAAUCAGAAGCAUCAGUAAAACUCGGUGCUUCAUCUACAUGUACGUACGUCUAUGUAUCUUGUAUGCGUCUGCAAGAGGCCAGAGGAGGACAUCAGAUUCCCUGAGACUGGGAAGGUUUGCUGGGCCCAUUUUACAGAUAAAGAACCAGAGAUCACUCUGUUCUGGAAGAAAU